rnacentral:rRNA from 1 species
AACGAACGCUGGCGGCAGGCUUAACACAUGCAAGUCGAGCGCCCCGCAAGGGGAGCGGCAGACGGGUGAGUAACACGUGGGAACCUACCUGAAGGUACGGAACAACUCCGGGAAACUGGAGCUAAUACCGUAUGUGCCCGAAAGGGGAAAGAUUUAUCGCCUUCAGAUGGGCCCGCGUCAGAUUAGCUAGUUGGUGAGGUAACGGCUCACCAAGGCGACGAUCUGUAGCUGGUCUGAGAGGAUGAUCAGCCACACUGGGACUGAGACACGGCCCAGACUCCUACGGGAGGCAGCAGUGGGGAAUAUCGGACAAUGGGCGAAAGCCUGAUCCAGCCAUGCCGCGUGAGUGAUGACGGCCUUAGGGUUGUAAAGCUCUUUCGACGGGGACGAUAAUGACGGUACCCGUAGAAGAAGCCCCGGCUAACUUCGUGCCAGCCGCCGCCGUAAAAC